CGCGCAGGCGGCCUUUUAAGUCUGAUGUGAAAGCCCACGGCUCAACCGUGGAGGGUCAUUGGAAACUGGAAGGCUUGAGUGCAGAAGAGGAGAGCGGAAUUCCACGUGUAGCGGUGAAAUGCGUAGAGAUGUGGAGGAACACCAGUGGCGAAGGCGGCUCUCUGGUCUGUAACUGACGCUGAGGCGCGAAAGCGUGGGGAGCGAACA
rnacentral:rRNA from 1 species